UCUUCUUCAUCCAUGUUCCACGCCAUUCUUGAAGCUUCCAUGCCAUUUUCUCUUUAUCCACCAUGAAAUCAAGUUUUCUUCACUUUCCUUUCCAUAUUUUCUUUUCCUUUCUUCUCCAAACUUCUUAAGCACUAAAUUUACAGCAUUUAACCCCAAUUUCUAGCACAACUAAACCUUAGGAGGAGGAGAAAGAAAAAGAGAGAAAGGAAGAAAAAGCUUAGUUUUGGUGAUUCAAGCAA
rnacentral:lncRNA from 1 species